AGAAAGCUUGCUUUCUUGCUGACGAGUGGCGGACGGGUGAGUAAUGCUUGGGAAUCUGGCUUAUGGAGGGGGAUAACGACGGGAAACUGUCGCUAAUACCGCGUAUUAUCGGAAGAUGAAAGUGCGGGACUGAGAGGCCGCAUGCCAUAUGAUGAGCCCAAGUGGGAUUAGGUAGUUGGUGGGGUAAAUGCCUACCAAGCCUGCGAUCAUCUAGCUGGUCUGAGAGGAUGACCAGCCACACUGGAACUGAGACACGGUCCAGACUCCUACGGGAGGCAGCAGUGGGGAAUAUUGCGCAAUGGGGGGAACCCUGACGCAGCCAUGCCGCGUGAAUGAAGAAGGCCUUCGGGUUGUAAAGUUCUUUCGGUAUUGAGGAAGGUUGAUGUGUUAAUAGCACAUCAAAUUGACGUUAAAUACAGAAGAAGCACCGGCUAACUCCGUGCCAGCAGCCGCGGUAAUACGGAGGGUGCGAGCGUUAAUCGGAAUAACUGGGCGUAAAGGGCACGCAGGCGGUUAUUUAAGUGAGGUGUGAAAGCCCUGGGCUUAACCUAGGAAUUGCAUUUCAGGCUGGGUAACUAGAGUACUUUAGGGAGGGGUAGAAUUCCACGUGUAGCGGUGAAAUGCGUAGAGAUGUGGAGGAAUACCGAAGACGAAGGCAGCCCCUUGGGAAUGUGCUGACGCUCAUGUGCGAAAGCGUGGAGAGCAAACAGGAUUAGAUACCCUGGUAGUCCACGCUGUAAACGCUGUCGAUUUGGGGGUUGGGGUUUAACUCUG
rnacentral:rRNA from 1 species